GGAAUGUAGCUCAGUUGGUAGAGUGCCUGCCUCACGUGUACAAGGCUCUGGGUUGAAUACCCAGCACCA
rnacentral:tRNA from 1 species